CCUACGGGGGGCAGCAGUGGGGAAUAUUGGACAAUGGGCGAAAGCCUGAUCCAGCCAUGCCGCGUGUGUGAAGAAGGCCUUCGGGUUGUAAAGCACUUUCAGUGGGGAAGAAAGCCUUGGGGCUAAUACCCUCGAGGAAGGACAUCACCCACAGAAGAAGCACCGGCUAACUCCGUGCCAGCAGCCGCGGUAAUACGGAGGGUGCGAGCGUUAAUCGGAAUUACUGGGCGUAAAGCGCGCGUAGGCGGUCUGAUAAGCCGGUUGUGAAAGCCCCGGGCUCAACCUGGGAACGGCAUCCGGAACUGUCAGGCUAGAGUGCAGGAGAGGAAGGUAGAAUUCCCGGUGUAGCGGUGAAAUGCGUAGAGAUCGGGAGGAAUACCAGUGGUGAAGGCGGCCUUCUGGACUGACACUGACGCUGAGGUGCGAAAGCGUGGGUAGCAAACAGGAUUAGAUACCCGGGUAGUC
rnacentral:rRNA from 1 species